CUUCUAAUAGCUCAGUUGGUAGAGCACUCGUCUAGUAAACGAGAGGUCUCUAGUUCGAUCUUGGUUGGAGGC
rnacentral:tRNA from 1 species